CGAAGGGCUAGCGUUGCUCGGAAUCACUGGGCGUAAAGGGCGCGUAGGCGGUCUUUAAGUCGGGGUGAAGCCUGUGGCUCAACCACAGAAUUGCCUUCGAUACUGGGAGACUUGAGUUCGGUAGAGGUUGGUGGAACUGCGAGUGUAGAGGUGAAAUUCGUAGAUAUUCGCAAGAACACCGGUGGCGAAGGCGGCCAACUGGACCGACACUGACGCUGAGGCGCGAAAGCGUGGGGAGCAAACAGGAUU
rnacentral:rRNA from 1 species